rnacentral:tRNA from 1 species
UAUAUUUUAGUAUAUGGUGUACAAAGGUUUUUGAUACCUUAAGAAAUAGUUAAAAUCUAUUAAAUAUAA